GUUUGAUCCUGGCUCAGGAUGAACGCUGGCGGCAUGCCUAAUACAUGCAAGUCGAACGAGAGGAAGGAAAGCUUGCUUUUCUGAAUCUAGUGGCGAACGGGUGAGUAACACGUAGGUAACCUGCCCAUGUGCCCGGGAUAACUUCUGGAAACGGAUGCUAAAACCGGAUAGGUAGCAGACAAGCAUUUGACUGCUAUUAAAGUGGCUUUGGCCAUGAACAUGGAUGGACCUGCGGUGCAUUAGCUGGUUGGUGAGGUAACGGCCCACCAAGGCGACGAUGCAUAGCCGGCCUGAGAGGGCGGACGGCCACAUUGGGACUGAGACACGGCCCAAACUCCUACGGGAGGCAGCAGUAGGGAAUUUUCGUCAAUGGGGGGAACCCUGAACGAGCAAUGCCGCGUGAGUGAGGAAGGUCUUCGGAUCGUAAAGCUCUGUUGUAAGAGAAAAACGGCACUCAUAGGGAAUGAUGAGUGAGUGAUGGUAUCUUACCAGAAAGUCACGGCUAACUACGUGCCAGCAGCCGCGGUAAUACGUAGGUGGCGAGCGUUAUCCGGAAUGAUUGGGCGUAAAGGGUGCGUAGGUGGCAGAUCAAGUCUGGAGUAAAAGGUAUGGGCUCAACCCGUACUGGCUCUGGAAACUGAUCAGCUAGAGAACAGAAGAGGACGGCGGAACUCCAUGUGUAGCGGUAAAAUGCGUAGAUAUAUGGAAGAACACCGGUGGCGAAGGCGGCCGUCUGGUCUGGAUUCUGACACUGAAGCACGAAAGCGUGGGGAGCAAAUAGGAUUAGAUACCCUAGUAGUCCACGCCGUAAACGAUGAGAACUAGGUGUUGGGGGAAUAACUCAGUGCCGCAGUUAACGCAGUAAGUUCUCCGCCUGGGGAGUAUGCACGCAAGUGUGAAACUCAAAGGAAUUGACGGGGGCCCGCACAAGCGGUGG
rnacentral:rRNA from 1 species